UCUAGAAAUUUGCACAAUCGACGAAAGUUGGAUGCAGCGACGCCACGUGGAGGAUGAAGCCCUUCGGGGUGUAAACUCCUGUCAGAGGGGAAGAAGGCCUGGCCAUUAAUACCGGCCGUGGCUUGACGGUACCCUCAAAGGAAGCUCCGGCUAACUACGUGCCAGCAGCCGCGGUAAUACGUAGGGAGCGAGCGUUGUUCGGAUUUACUGGGCGUAAAGGGCAGGUAGGUGGGGACAUAAGUCGGUUGUGAAAUCCUCUGGCUCAACCAGAGAAUGGCAGCCGAAACUGUGUUUCUUGAGUCCAGCAGAGGGAAUCGGAAUCCUAGGUGUAGCGGUGAAAUGCGUAGAUAUCUAGGAGAACACCAGUGGCGAAGGCGGAUUCCUGGGCUGGUACUGACACUGAGCUGCGAAAGCAAGGGGAGCGAACAGG
rnacentral:rRNA from 1 species